rnacentral:rRNA from 1 species
UGCCACAGUCAUAUCACCCUGCAGCCCAAGACUGGUUGCCCACUGAAGCUAAGCGGGGUUGAGCCUGGUCAGUACCUGGAUGGGAGACCUCCUGUGAAAAAUAGGUUGCUGCUGGAA